rnacentral:antisense_RNA from 1 species
UUGGCGGUGAACUCCCAGAUGCCGUCACCGUCCACGAGGGUUUGCGCGCCGAAGUAGUCGCCGUCCUUGACCACGCCCAGCGCGGUCUCGUCACCGUAGGGGCCAGGGCCGGUCUUGGUGAUCUUGCCGUGUGCGAUGAGGUAGACCCGGUCGGCCCGGUGCCCGAAUUCGACGAGCACAUCGCCUGCCGCCACUUCCUGCUGUUCGAAUCGGCGGGCGAGUUCGUCGAGCACUUCCUCGUCGUCGUAACCCUUGAGCGGCUUCAGUUCUCCCAGUUCCGCCGGGAUCACGCUGACCUCGGCGCCGGCCUUCGAGAAGGUCACCCGUCCGUCGCCGACCGCGUAAUUGAGCCGCCGGUUGACCCGGUAGGCACCGCCGUUCACCUGAACCCAUUCGAGGGAUUUCAGCAGCCACCGGGACGAAAUUCCCUGCAUCUGCGGAACGGAUUUGGUCGUCGUCGCCAGGUUGCGCGCGGCGGCGCGCCCCAAACUCAGCUGCGGGUUUUCCG